AUACGUAGGGUGCAAGCGUUAAUCGGAAUUACUGGGCGUAAAGCGUGCGCAGGCGGUUUUGUAAGACAGUGGUGAAAUCCCCGGGCUCAACCUGGGAACUGCCAUUGUGACUGCAAGGCUGGAGUGCGGCAGAGGGGGAUGGAAUUCCGCGUGUAGCAGUGAAAUGCGUAGAUAUGCGGAGGAACACCGAUGGCGAAGGCAAACCCCUGGGCCUGCACUGACGCUCAUGCACGAAAGCGUGGGGAGCAAACAGGAUCAGAUACCCUGGUAGUCCACGCCCUAAACGAUGUCAACUGGUUGUUGGGGAUUUAUUUUCUCAGUAACGAAGCUAACGCGUGAAGUUGACCGCCUGGGGAGUACGGCCGCAAGGUUAAAACUCAAAGGAAUUGACGGGU
rnacentral:rRNA from 1 species